rnacentral:tRNA from 1 species
GGGUGUAGUCCAGUGGUAGAGUGCUCACCUAGCAUGCAUGGGGUGCUGGGUUCGAUCCUCAGCACCACA